UACGUAGGGUGCAAGCGUUGUCCGGAAUUAUUGGGCGUAAAGAGCUUGUAGGCGGUUUGUCGCGUCUGCUGUGAAAUUUCGGGGCUCAACCCCGAACUUGCAGUGGGUACGGGCAGACUAGAGUGUGGUAGGGGAGACUGGAAUUCCUGGUGUAGCGGUGAAAUGCGCAGAUAAUCAGGAGGAACACCGGCGGCGAAGGCGGCACUCUGGGCCGGUACUGACGCUGAGGAGCGAAAGCGUGGGUAGCAAACAGG
rnacentral:rRNA from 1 species